rnacentral:lncRNA from 1 species
AUAAAAAAAAUCUUAAAUAAAUAUCAAAUAAAUCUUAAAGAAAUAUCAAAUAAAAAAAAUUCAAAAAAUCCUAUUAAAAUUCUAAUCAAAUCCUAAACCAAUCCUAAAUCAAUCCUAAAGAGAAUCUAAUAAAAUCUUAAAUCAAUUCUAACCAAAUUCUAAUAAAAUCCUAAAUGAAUUCUAAAUAAAUCCUAAUGAUAUCCUAAAUCAAUCCAAAUCAAAUUCUAGUAUAAUCUUAACUCAAUCCUAACCAAAUCUUAAUAAAAUCCUAAACCAAUCAUAGUAAAAUCUAAAUGAAAUCCUAAACCAAUCUUAAUCAAAUUCUAAUCAAACUCUAAAUCAAUUCUAAUCAAACUCUAAUAUAAUCCUAAACCAAUUUUAAAGAGAUCCUAAUGAAAUACUAAAUAAAACUAAGCCAAAUCCUAAUAUGAUCCUAAAUAAAUCCUA